rnacentral:rRNA from 1 species
AUGUCGCUAAACCGUAACUUGGGCGCACAAAAAGUCAAGCUAUAUCUUCCUCCUCGUUGUUUUCAUCGGGAAGCCAUCGACCAGAAGUUCAGCAGGAAGGAGGGCGUGAGGGCAAACCAGCUCAUGAACGCCAUCGCCGUCGCGGUCUCGAAGCUGCCACAGUGGUUCUCGGCACAGAUGUUCAGGUCGUUGUCGAUCAGGACGGUGAUGCCUGCCGACGAGCAUGCUGCGCCGAAGAUGAGUGCUGCCGUGAUCUACCAAGAAACAGCCUUAGACCUCACACAGUCAAAAGACAAUGCAUUUAUAAUUUCCAGGGUGAAACUAACAUGCAGGAACUUGCAAUAA